GGAUAAGCGGUGGAAACGCCGUCUAAUACCGGAUACGACCCGCCACCUCAUGGUGGAGGGUGGAAAGUUUUUCGGUCAGGGAUGGGCUCGCGGCCUAUCAGCUUGUUGGUGGGGUAACGGCCUACCAAGGCGAUUACGGGUAGCCGGCCUGAGAGGGCGACCGGCCACACUGGGACUGAGACACGGCCCAGACUCCUGCGGGAGGCAGCAGUGGGGAAUAUUGCGCAAUGGGCGAAAGCCUGACGCAGCGACGCCGCGUGGGGGAUGACGGCCUUCGGGUUGUAAACCUCUUUUACCACCAACGCAGGCUCGGAGUUUUCUUCGGGUUGACGGUAGGUGGGGAAUAAGGACCGGCUAACUACGUGCCAGCAGCCGCGGUAAUACGUAGGGUCCGAGCGUUGUCCGGAAUUAUUGGGCGUAAAGAGCUCGUAGGCGGCGUGUCGCGUCUGCUGUGAAAGACCGGGGCUUAACUCCGGUUCUGCAGUGGAUACGGGCAUGCUAGAGGUAGGUAGGGGAGACUGGAAUUCCUGGUGUAGCGGUGAAAUGCGCAGAUAUCAGGAGGAACACCGGUGGCGAAGGCGGGUCUCUGGGCCUUACCUGACGCUGAGGAGCGAAAGCAUGGGGAGCGAACAGGAUUAGAUACCCUGGUAGUCCAUGCCGUAAACGUUGGGCGCUAGGUGUGGGGACUUUCCACGGUUUCCGCGCCGUAGCUAACGCAUUAAGCGCCCCGCCUGGGGAGUACGGCCGCAAGGCUAAAACUCAAAGGAAUUGACGGGGGCCCGCACAAGCGGCGGAGCAUGUUGCUUAAUUCGACGCAACGCGAAGAACCUUACCAAGGUUUGACAUCACCCGUGGACUCGCAGAGAUGUGAGGUCAUUUAGUUGGCGGGUGACAGGUGGUGCAUGGCUGUCGUCAGCUCGUGUCGUGAGAUGUUGGGUUAAGUCCCGCAACGAGCGCAACCCUUGUUCCAUGUUGCCAGCACGUAAUGGUGGGGACUCAUGGGAGACUGCCGGGGUCAACUCGGAGGAAGGUGGGGAUGACGUCAAGUCAUCAUGCCCCUUAUGUCUUGGGCUGCAAACAUGCUACAAUGGCCGGUACAAUGGGCGUGCGAUACCGUAAGGUGGAGCGAAUCCCUAAAAGCCGGUCUCAGUUCGGAUUGGGGUCUGCAACUCGACCCCAUGAAGGUGGAGUCGCUAGUAAUCGCGGAUCAGCAACGCCGCGGUGAAUACGUUCCCGGGCCUUGUACACACCGCCCGUCACGUCAUGAAA
rnacentral:rRNA from 1 species